AGAAUUGUAAAAAACCCACAAAAUAUGCAAGAUUAGUUUUGAAAGAGUAACAAUACGGGAUGUUUGGGAGAAUUUCAGAACAAUAUUUGAUAAGAUUAAAUAGAACACACCACAAGCACAAUCACCUAAAUAACAGCUAACUGUCAAGCAGUGCUCUGUGUCACUUGCAGGUGCUCUGAAGGUCACAGGUCAUUCUGAAGGUCACGCUGACAUGAGGUCAGUCUGAUACAGAGAAGGCUCAGAGGUCGACAGAUUCUUGCUUCUUCACCUAUUUACGUUACAAUGCUCUAGAUUAUACAUCACACUACAAAUUAAUACGACUAUAUGAUCAGUGAAAUGACAAACCCAAUGAAUUUGAUUAUCUGACUUUAGGAAUUAGGAGUAUGAGCUAUUGGAGGAACGCCAACAGGAACCGACCACUGGAUACUCUGGAGGGGGGUGGGGUCGGGUGUUUUCUUAAAAGAUGGUUUGUUACGGAGAAUCUUGAUAAAAAUAUUUUGGAUACAAAUUUUCCAAAUAAUGUUUGCUGGACAUCCACAGUUUC